CUGCACGUUCGGCCACCAGGGGGCGCUGCUGGAGCUGUCCUGCCCAGACGACGACUUAGGCCCUGCAGAGGACUGGUGACUUCAACUUGCCAUUUCCUGGUAACCGCGCAGCCUACGACACAUGGAAUGUGUCGGGAUUCCCCAGCCUUCUCGCGUCGCUGGACCGAAGCCAGACGAUCCCUCCUGGCCUGUCCUUCUCUAGCCGGCACCCCCUCCAGAGUAAAGGGGUUACUGCACCUUCUGUGGCGAAGGGGGUGAGCUCCGAGGGGAGAGCAGACAUUUCUGGGCCCAGCCACCCCCAACUGCUGCACCAAUAGCCUUGCCUCCGCCUUCAGGGCCCGGCCAGUGCGAGAUGCCCGCCCAGCCUGAGAAGGCUCCGACCCCGCAGCUGGUGGGUGGGGGGUGGUCUCCUAGCUGAAGGUUCAGGGACUUGGGGAUCGGAGGUGUGUCCUGACCCCUCCAUGCUACGAAGCCACAGCUUUUCCUUCCCUCCCAACCCCUUGGGCUUGAGCCCGCAUGACCUCUGCUUCAUGUUUAAUGGGGCACGUCUCAGCCAGGCUGCGGUCAGUCUGGAGUCUCAGAUCGCCCAGUGAGACCCCAGCGCUCCUGGCCCCUCCUCUGGGGCGUCCUGGCCCCUCCUCUGGGGCCUCCCGACCCCUGAUGCUCCCCCAGAAACAGAGCCUCCUGAACCACGCCACCAGCACCACCACCACCCCUGCCGCCUGGAGAUCCUGUUUCUCCCCUGCUCCAGGUGUGGCCUAAAGACUCACUUUCGGAGAAUCUGUUUUAACCCAGGCUUACAAGUUCAUGUAUCUCAAGGAUCGAACGGGCUGCAGAAACCAGUCAUUUCAGGAACAGCACUCCUUGACGCUGAGCGUUUGCGAAGUGCCAAGCGGCAGAGUGUAGACUUCUGUCAUCUGACACAACCCUGGCGGCCGCUACUCUGUUUCUGCUAAGGAGGCGGCACCUACAGCAUCGCCUGGCCCACAAGGGGCCCCCCCGGUGACCUUUAGAGACAGCAGAGGCCCCCGUGCUUCGGGCUCCGGCUCAUUGGUCUGUGACAGGCUUCUGGCAUCCGGAAGGUUGAAAACGUUCUCCAGCCGAUUCUAAUGUGCAGAACAGGUUGAAAGUUACUGCUUUGAAGUCACCAGAGCUGGGGAAAGACUGAUGAUUAAAAAAAAAAAAAAAGAGUUAAGCAACCUCCCCAGGGCGCAUGCCUGAAGAGCCAGCCAGGGAUUGUCCGUGUCUUCCUGAUAUAGUUUCCAUCUUCUUGUUCUUCGUCUAACCCAUUUAAACAGCAGCUUUCUGUCUGUGUUUAUGGUGUAAUCGGGUAUUAACUGUUUAGGGCUUGUAGAUCUGUCACUUGAUCUGAAUAGCCACCUUGGGAAAUAUGGUAGGUAGUAGAAUCCUUAUUUUCCAAGGGGAACGAAGUCCCCUUUGUUUGGUGUGAAGGGAUUGAGCAAGUAGCCACCAGGUAUGGGCGAGGGACGGGGCAC
rnacentral:lncRNA from 1 species